rnacentral:rRNA from 1 species
CCUACGGGAGGCAGCAGUAGGGAAUCUUCCGCAAUGGGCGAAAGCCUGACGGAGCAACGCCGCGUGAGUGAUGAAGGGUUUCGGCUCGUAAAACUCUGUUAUUAGGGAAGAACUAAUGUGUAAGUAACUGUGCACAUCUUGACGGUACCUAAUCAGAAAGCCACGGCUAACUACGUGCCAGCAGCCGCGGUAAU